AACGAACGCUGGCGGCAUGCCUAACACAUGCAAGUCGAACGAAGCCUUCGGGCUUAGUGGCGCACGGGUGCGUAACACGUGGGAAUCUGCCUCUAGGUAGGGAAUAACUCAGGGAAACUUGUGCUAAUACCCUAUGAUGUCUUCGGACCAAAGAUUUAUCGCCUAGAGAUGAGCCCGCGUCGGAUUAGCUAGUUGGUGAGGUAAAGGCUCACCAAGGCUACGAUCCGUAGCUGGUCUGAGAGGAUGAUCAGCCACACUGGGACUGAGACACGGCCCAGACUCCUACGGGAGGCAGCAGUGGGGAAUAUUGGACAAUGGGCGAAAGCCUGAUCCAGCAAUGCCGCGUGAGUGAAGAAGGCCUUCGGGUUGUAAAGCUCUUUUACCCGGGAAGAUAAUGACUGUACCGGGAGAAUAAGCCCCGGCUAACUCCGUG
rnacentral:rRNA from 1 species